rnacentral:rRNA from 1 species
UACGAAGGGGGCUAGCGUUGCUCGGAAUCACUGGGCGUAAAGGGUGCGUAGGCGGGUCUUUAAGUCAGGGGUGAAAUCCUGGAGCUCAACUCCAGAACUGCCUUUGAUACUGAGGAUCUUGAGUUCGGGAGAGGUGAGUGGAACUGCGAGUGUAGAGGUGAAAUUCGUAGAUAUUCGCAAGAACACCAGUGGCGAAGGCGGCUCACUGGCCCGAUACUGACGCUGAGGCACGAAAUCGUCGGGAGCAAACAGG